GGGGGCGUAGCUCAGGGCUAGAGCGUUUGGCUGCAGAGCAAGAGGUCCCCGGUUCAACUCCGGGCGCCCCCU